GAUCUAGCCAUGGGCAGGUUGAAGGUUGGGUAACACUAACUGGAGGACCGAACCGACUAAUGUUGAAAAAUUAGCGGAUGACUUGUGGCUGGGGGUGAAAGGCCAAUCAAACCGGGAGAUAGCUGGUUCUCCCCGAAAGCUAUUUAGGUAGCGCCUCGUGAACUCAUCUUCGGGGGUAGAGCACUGUUUCGACUAGGGGGUCAUCCCGACUUACCAACUCGAUGCAAACUACGAAUACCGAAGAAUGUUAUCACGGGAGACACACGGCGGGUGCUAACGUUCGUCGUGAAGAGGGAAACAACCCAGACCGCCAGCUAAGGUCCCAAAGUCAUAGUUAAGUGGGAAACGAAGUGGGAAGGCUCAGACAGCCAGGAUGUUGGCUUAGAAGCAGCCAUCAUUUAAAGAAAGCGUAAUAGCUCACUGGUCGAGUCGGCCUGCGCGGAAGAUGUAACGGGGCUAAACUAUGCACCGAAGCUGCGGCAGCGAUAUGUAAAUAUUGUUGGGUAGGGGAGCGUUCUGUAAGCCUGUGAAGGUGUACUGUGAGGUAUGCUGGAGGUAUCAGAAGUGCGAAUGCUGACAUAAGUAACGAUAAUGCGGGUGAAAAACCCGCACGCCGGAAGACCAAGGGUUCCUGUCCAACGUUAAUCGGGGCAGGGUGAGUCGACCCCUAAGGCGAGGCAGAAAUGCGUAGUCGAUGGGAAACGGGUUAAUAUUCCCGUACUGGUGAUAAUUGCGAUGGGGGGACGGAGAAGGCUAGGCUGGCCGGGCGACGGUUGUCCCGGUUUAAGGAUGUAGGCAGGUGAA
rnacentral:rRNA from 1 species